rnacentral:rRNA from 1 species
AUUGAACGCUGGCGGCAGGCCUAACACAUGCAAGUCGAGCGAGCGGCGGACGGGUGAGUAAUGUAUGGGGACUGCCCGCUAGAGGGGGCUAACUACUGGAAACGGUAGCUACUACCGCAUACUAUCGGAUAACCCAUAUGGGAUUAGCUAGUAGGUGAGGUACUGGCUCACCUAGGCGACGAUCCCUAGCUGGUCGGAGAGGAUGAUCAGCCACACUGGGACGGGAGCACGGCCCAGACUCCUACGGAGGCAGCAGUGGGGAAUAUUGCAAAAUGGGCGCAAGCCGGAUGCAGCAAUGCCCCGUGUAUGAAGAAGGCGCUAGGGUUGUAAAGGACGUUCUGUCGGGAGGCGUUACCGACAGAAGAAGCACCGGCUAACUCCGUGCCAGCAGCCGCGGUAAUUC